AUGGAGGCAGCGACGAGGGUGCGGCCGUCCUCCUGCUGCCGUUCCCGGGGCGCAGGGCCACACGAACCCGAUGCUGGAGCUGGGCCGCCGCCCGGCGCGCACGGCCUCCGCCCCACGUUCGUCUCCACCCGCCACGUGCUCUCCUCCACCCCGCCCCCCGGCGCGCCCUUCCGCGUGGCCGCCAUCUCCGACGGAUUCGACGCCGGCGGCUUCGCCUCGUGCCCGGACCCCGCCGAGUACUUCUCCCGGCUGGAGGCCGUGGGGCCCGAGACGCUGCGCGAGCUCCUGCUGUCGGAGGAGGCCACUUCGGUGCGCAUUCUCAUGUACGACUCGCACCUGCCGUGGGCGGGGCGGGUGGCGCGCCCGGCCGGCGUGCCCGCCGCGGCGUUCUUCUCGCAGUCGUGCGCGGUGAACGACGUCUACGGGGAGGUGUGGGCGGGGCGCUGGCGCUGCCGGUGA
rnacentral:rRNA from 1 species